rnacentral:misc_RNA from 1 species
GUGAAUCAGCGAAUUUUUGAACGCAAAUUGCACUCUCUUCGGAGAGUAUGCCUGUUUGAGGGUCAGCCUAAAAAAAAAUCGACGUAGUCGCUGUUUCGCGGUGACAUUCGUCGGAAAUUGGGUCAUCUUAAAACUUUGGGUUUUUUAAGCGGCUUAAAAUUUUCUUUACGAUUACACGAACGAUCCUAAGAUUUUACUUCUUAUAUACGUUUAAGGUAUCGAUCUUUUUUAGAUGUGGCCGUUGCAUCGGAUCGGGU